AUUGAACUACCCUUCCACUCCACACACUCUGUCAAUUAAGCCAGUGUGUAUGGAUGGACUUCUAAUCAAAACAAUGUUUAUGAAAUGACCAUCAUGUGAAAUGAUAAUGAAACAUGCUAUCAGCCCUGGUUAGAAAUCAAUGCAAAUGUGUCAUGUGGGGAAAUUCUCAGCUACAGCUCCAAGCUCCUCAUCAACACCGUUUCCCUGUAUGGAAUGCUCUUGUCAUCACUCAGAGAGAAAUUGUACAACCAUCAUGGCUCCGGAGAUGAAUCUGGGCUGAUCUGUCAAACUGCGGUUUAGGAGACACUCACCAAUCGAACGCGGUGAGAACCUUGAUGACUCUACCUGUGGAUGAGGAUGCGGUCUACACUAUCUCUCUGUGGAGGAGAAGGGGAGGGCAGGGGCCUGAGAGCCCGGGUAGGCAGGAUGAAGAGACUGCUGUGCCUUCGACACGCCCACCGUGUGGAUGUCCUGACGGACAUGGAGCCGGGGCUCUGGCUGAGGCGCUUCCAG